rnacentral:rRNA from 1 species
UACGUAGGGUGCGAGCGUUAAUCGGAAUUACUGGGCGUAAAGCGUGCGCAGGCGGUUCGUUGUGUCGGCGGUGAAAGCCCCGGGCUUAACCUGGGAAUGGCUGUUGAAACUGGCGAACUGGAGUGUGGCAGAGGGGGGUGGAAUUCCGCGUGUAGCAGUGAAAUGCGUAGAGAUGCGGAGGAACACCGAUGGCGAAGGCAGCCCCCUGGGCUAACACUGACGCUCAGGCACGAAAGCGUGGGGAGCAAACAGG